UUUGAAUAAAACAAAUUCCACUCAAGCAACGGUUAAUAUCAUGAUGUUAAUUAACAUUACGGCUGUUUCGUCGAUAGAUACGGUCAGGUCUAGUGAAUUCCAUAUAUGUUGAAUUAAAACACACUCGGCACUGAAAGCAAGGAUUAGUUCAAACCGCUUUAAUACAGAGUUUUAGCGCUUUAGUACAGAGUCUUUAGGGACGCAAAGACAGUAUGUGCGGACCGACAGGGGAUGCCCGGCAUAUAGGGAAUCUUUUACGCUCAUUAACACAAAGAUACUUUUUCCCCAGUAACCUUGAUAUUUUAGUUUGUUAGCAUGCCUAAGAUAAGACACCGGGCCCAAUUGGUCUGCAGCAUGAGAGAAAGUGGGAGAGAGGGGGCCCAUCUCCUGUUUAUGGAACCGUCCUGAACCUUUACAGAAUUGCAUAGAGUACUUCAAAGCACGCGUCAUUAUCUCAUUAUCUGCUUGAGAUUUAUGUAUUUUAAUAAAGAGAAUGUUCUCGUCUCACGCGAAGGUAAGAAUAUGAGAGUUAGUCAUUACACAUGAAAACUGUUAAAAUAAUACAUUUUAAAUCACUUAUAUGUUAGGGUAUAUAAUGUAAAACAAUUAUUUAAACAGCAUAUUCUUCUACACCUUCUUGUAUGGGAAUGUAUUACUCGUACACACAAAGGUUCUGCACAUUUUUUGCCAUGACUAAUGGACCGCUUUAUUUGCUUUAUUUUUAUAUAAAUUUAUAUUACGGAUGCUUCCUGAAAAUUAAAAUGAAUCAAUUUUUUUCAUCCGUUCAAAAUUAUGGAAAUAGCAAUGUAGCUCCAGUACAUGAAAUGCACUGAGAACGUAAAGAAAAUAACAGUGUUUCCCCUAUAUUCGAAUAUAUACGGUUUGGCAAACCGUGACGCAAUAUUUGUAUUUUUGGAAAGCGCUUAUGGGAUUUGUAGUCAAUAAGUAGUUGUGAUUGCUGAAUCGGAUCUGGCGUUGGACUUCAUUUCCCGAAAAAGCCAUUGUCGAAACGCCAUGCGGUGCCGUCUGCAACUUGUAAAUAUUUCCACACAACUGCGCGACCGAAAGCUUGUCUGCAGCCCAACAAGCUGAUCAGGGUAGCACUGUGGCUAUUUAACAGAUGGACUGACCAUGCAGGAAGUCCCCAGAUGGAGGCGCUGUCACAACGGACAAAAGCUGCUCAAACUGAAAGUAGAAACUGAAGGGACGAACCGGGAUUCGAACCCUGAAGCUCAGCGUUCCGAGCAUUGGACAAUACCUUUACGCCACCGUUGUGUUAGCGGUUGCGCGGCUGCAGAAGUGGCCUGAUGAUGAGACAACCCAAGUAUAAGUGAAACAAAGACAAAGGGGGGCUCGAACCCCCAACCUCUGCGUCCGUAGGUAAAGACAAUACCGUUGCGCCACCUUCUCUUCUGUGAAUCGGCCGGCUCUUCUGUGGGUAGAAGAAGAUGACACAACAGAAAUAUUUCCCAAAAAAAAAAAAAAAAAAAAAGCUGAUUCUCAGACCCAUCAGAAAUAAACAGGAAGAGCUCAGCUUUGAAUCACACAGAUCCAGAUUAGGUGCUCUCCUAAAAUGAACUCUAAGAAACUGUGGCGAAAUAUAAUCUGACACCCUAACAUAUUUUGGCUUCUUUAAAUAAAGCUUUUGAUUCAU